CUAUAAAAGCGCAUGCGCCAGACGUAAAGAGCUCUCUUACUCUGGUUACAACGUGGAGCUCGACGUGUUCUUAAUGACUUUAAAACAUGUUCAUGAUGCGUUACACACGAGGACUUGCGCGGGGUGCGUUUAGACCACCAUAAUGAAUGGUUUAUUUUCUCAAGAUUACAUGAUGAUCUGAUGGCUAUUCUACAGUGCACUGAAAAGGUGUAGUUCUGCAUCUGAACACUGAAUUGGUGUUAAUCAGAGAUCAGAAGCAAUGGUCUGGAACAUCCCGCCCGGGUCAUCUGGAACAAAUGGCAUUGUGCAAGAUGACCAUGAUGAGAGUUGGGAGCGGGACCACGAGAAUACCGAAACGCCUGAACAGAUUGUUUUUAAAGAUGUAUUUCACAAAAGUCUUAUUUGAAAUAAAGCAUAUGAAAAGCGUGUUAAAGA